GUGACUUUAGAUGCUCUGGAACCUUUUGUUUGUGAUGGUCCAAAGCAGAAUCCUCCUCCCUUGCCAUAUCUUGCGGAGAAGGAAUCCAGAAACUACGACAUAGAGUUGGAGGUUUUGAUUAAACCUGCUGGACAAGAACACUCCUAUGCUGUCACGAAAAGCAACUUCAAGCACUUAUAUUGGACAAUUUCGCAACAACUUGCUCACCAUACUGUUAACGGUUGCAACCUAAGGCCCGGUGAUCUUCUUGGAUCCGGAACUAUGAGUGGACCUGAACCAGGAACUUACGGAAGCCUUCUUGAAUUAACGUGGAACGGAACAAAACCUCUAUCUUUAGGUGGAGUAACUCGUACCUUCAUAGAAGAUGGAGACGAAGUCAUAUUCACAGGGUGUUGCAAGGGAAAUGGCUAUACAGUUGGUUUCGGAAAAUGCUCAGGUAAAAUUCUUCCAUCACCAUACUGAGAACAUGAAUUUAUUAGCUCAAUCCAGUCCUCUUCAAUCUCAUCGAAAUAAAAUUAGGAGAAUACAAGCAAACUCAUGCAUGAAAUUGUUGUACUUGUAACAUGUAACGCAAAC
rnacentral:misc_RNA from 1 species